GUGUUUUUAAGCCCGGGAUUUCGGGAUCUGGAUCCCUCCUUCCCUCCUCCCUCUAUUAUGGUUAAAGAAAAGAGGUCACGGAAGUUUUGUGAUACUUGUAACUGCAAUUUAAUAUUUAGUGGAAUGAGAGGUGAAAUGUGUUCAGACUAUUACAUUUCGAUUUUUUUUUUUUUAAAUUUAACCACAGUUUACUGCAAGGGGUGUUUAACGACCUCGAUGAUUAUCCA
rnacentral:lncRNA from 1 species